rnacentral:rRNA from 1 species
AGACCCGAAACCCGGUGAUCUAGCCAUGGGCAGGUUGAAGGUUGGGUAACACUAACUGGAGGACCGAACCGACUAAUGUUGAAAAAUUAGCGGAUGACCUGUGGCUGGGGGUGAAAGGCCAAUCAAACCGGGAGAUAGCUGGUUCUCCCCGAAAGCUAUUUAGGUAGCGCCUCGUGAAUUCAUCUCCGGGGGUAGAGCACUGUUUCGGCUAGGGGGCCAUCCCGGCUUACCAACCCGAUGCAAACUGCGAAUACCGGAGAAUGUUAUCACGGGAGACACACGGCGGGUGCUAACGUCCGUCGUGAAGAGGGAAACAACCCAGACCGCCAGCUAAGGUCCCAAAGUCAUGGUUAAGUGGGAAACGAUGUGGGAAGGCCCAGACAGCCAGGAUGUUGGCUUAGAAGCAGCCAUCAUUUAAAGAAAGCGUAAUAGCUCACUGGUCGAGUCGGCCUGCGCGGAAGAUGUAACGGGGCUAAACCAUGCACCGAAGCUGCGGCAGCGAACGUAUCACCCAAGACAACUUUGCGGAGUUGACGAUUGACGGAGCGAAGCGACGUCAAAGCGUUCAUUAAAGUCGAGUUGGCUUAGGGAUACGUUCGUUGGGUAGGGGAG